UACGGAGGAUGCAAGCGUUAUCCGGAUUCAUUGGGUUUAAAGGGUGCGCAGGCGGAAUGAUAAGUCAGUGGUGAAAUCUCCCGGCUCAACCGGGAAACUGCCAUUGAUACUGCCAUUCUUGAGUACAGUUGAAGUGGGCGGAAUGUGUCAUGUAGCGGUGAAAUGCUUAGAUAUGACACAGAACACCGAUAGCGAAGGCAGCUCACUAAGCUGUAACUGACGCUCAUGCACGAAAGCGUGGGGAUCAAACAGG
rnacentral:rRNA from 1 species